UGUGACUUCAGUGCUGACAGAAAUGU
rnacentral:piRNA from 1 species